rnacentral:rRNA from 1 species
UACGGGGGGGGGCAAGCUUGUUCGGAAUUACUGGGCGUAAAGGGCUCGUAGGCGGCCAACUAAGUCAGACGUGAAAUCCCCUCGGCUUAACCGGGGAACUGCGUCUGAUACUGGAUGGCUAGAGGUUGGGAGAGGGAUGCGGAAUUCCAGGUGUAGCGGUGAAAUGCGUAGAUAUCUGGAGGAACACCGGUGGCGAAGGCGGCAUCCUGGGACCGGCAUUGACGCUGAGGCGCGAAAGCCAGGGGAGCAA